rfam:Ailuropoda melanoleuca scaffold341_101, whole genome shotgun sequence.
GGUGUAGGCAAUCUGGCUGUGACAUCUGUCACCCCAUUGAGCGCCAGGGUUGAUCUGGCUGAUCUGAUUGGCUAGGCAUGUGUCCCUUUCCUCCCUCACUGCUACAUGCGCAUCUUUCCUAAGCUGCACACUCAGUGAAACAGGACGGCCUUCCUAAUAGCUGCACUCCCCUUCUAGAACCUCCAAACAAGCUCUCAAAGUCCCUUUCUUUUACUUCGAAAAUAGGCAAACACUUCUUAAGCAUUUACAUAUCUUUUGAAAUAUUUAGGU